GGCCUUGCCAGAACUAAAAGAGAUACAGUUUAUUUGAAAAGCCGAAUGCAGCAGCGUCUGGGCUGAGGAUCAAGACGCCUGAGAGUCGCUUGGCAUCUCUAUAUUCGCAGCAAUUUCGAACCGGUUCGUGAGGCAAAGGCCAAGACUUGUUAUUUAAGGCGUUCUCGAGCCAGCCGGAUCCACAGAGCUGUGACAGCUAGCAUCUGGUGCAUUGUCAAUCCAUACUGAAGAAUCUCAAUUGAGGCUAUGGUGUUCCAGCUCCCCAUUUAACCAUGUACAUACCCUAUAAAAUCUCUCUCCUGAUCUUGUUCCAGGGUACUGCAGCUGGCGGCACACCUGAGAUUGUUGCGGAUAGAACCACCGGAUUGCUUAGCCCGGUUGGGAAAGAAGGCGUUUCCGCUUCAAAUGGCACAGUUAAAAACGAGCAUGGGUGCAGCCGGGUCCGGCAACGGUUCCUCGUAUUGCAAAUGCACUGAGACAGAUAUUACAGCAGCAGCAGUGAGCACAUUUGGCUUCUGCUUCUCGAGCAUCACGUACAUAUUAGUGCUGGGCCAGCAUGUUUGUACAGGAGGCGGGUAGGGUCUCCCAGGCAUAGAUAUCCUUUGGGAACAAACAGAAGUCGUGUUGUACCGAACAGAUCGACCAUGCAGAACCAAUUCGGUUGAAUGUGGAUGUCGGCUGUCAUACUUUGGAAGGUUUCUCAGGCGGCUGCAACAGGCGCACAAAGACCAUAGCAUCCCUUCCCUUGGAAGAUUAAUAUAGCCUUCUGCUUAUGCCCAGCCAGGGCAUAGCAUGAGAAUGGUCUAGGAAGAGGUUACGAGCCCAGCAUGGUUCGGUUGGCUUCAGCCAUAUGUAUGCUGCCAGCAUUGCAUUUGCAGUCUACAUUUUCCGUAACUUGCUUGCUCUGAGCGUAGCCACCUGACAUGCUGCAUUGUCGAAUUCUCCGCAGCGAUUCACAUACAGAGUUUCCAUUAUUUUUAUCUGCAACCAAAUUUCCAGGUUCGUUUUGAUGAUUUGAUUUUUUGGAUAAUCAAGGAAAUUUAUCUAGGACAGCUUAUAUACUUAUUAAUUUCACACGUUUCCUUA